AUUGAACGCUGGCGGCAGGCCUAACACAUGCAAGUCGAGCGGCGCGGCGGGCGGGUGAGUAAUGCCUAGGAAUCUGCCUGGUAGUGGGGGAUAACGCCCGGAGACGGGCGCUAAUACAGCGUACUAUCAGAUGAGCCCAGGUCGGAUUAGCUAGUUGGUGGGGUAAAGGCCCACCAAGGCGACGAUCCGUCACUGGUCUGAGAGGAUGAUCAGUCACACUGGAACUGAGACACGGUCCAGACUCCUACGGGAGGCAGCAGUGGGGAAUAUUGGACAAUGGGCGAAAGCCUGAUCCAGCCAUGCCGCGUGUGUGAAGAAGGUCUUCGGAUUGUAAAGCACUUUAAGUUGGGAGGCGUUACCAGCAGAAUAAGCACCGGCUAACUUCGUGCCAGCAGCGGCGGUAAUUC
rnacentral:rRNA from 1 species